CCUCAAAACAUUUUUGAGCCAAAUAACUAAUAGAGAUGCACACUACGCACCUGUUAUCAAGCGACGCUCGAUAAGUGCCAGCGCAUACAUAAAUUCCACGUUAUCGGCAUUAGAUAAAACGGGUCGAUCAAUCAACAGCCAACGUCGUACAACGUGAACGCAAAUAUGGACGUGUAGACGCGUCGGCACCGUGUUAUCACGUUCUUUUACAUGAUCUUUGAUAUUUUAUGUUAGUGUGUUUGUAGGUCAGGAAGGGUACAAUUACACAUAUUAUGAAAUGAAUAACACAGCCAAGUGUUAAUGAAAGGUCAGCAUGACAUGUCAGGAUUGGGCAACGUUCGCACGAUCGUUUAACGUACAUUACUCGCGUUUUAAGAUUUCAUUUGUGUAAACAAUUAUGAUGGCUAUUAAAAUCUGAAUGAAAACCGCGAAAUGUGAACUGGUUUUGGAGACUGUGAGUCAUAAUAAACUUUUUGGUAAUUAUUUUA